GCCAGCAGCCAUAUCACCCUGCAACUCCCAGAUGGCAGCCCACUGAAGCUCAGCAGGUGUGAGCCUGGUCAGUACCUGGAUGGGAGACCUCCUGGGAAAAACUAGGGCUGCUGCUGGAA
rnacentral:rRNA from 1 species